AUAUCAAGCUAACCCACAUGGCAAAAACUUUUAUAAGUGUCAAUGUAACAACCUAGUUGGAGGGGCAGCCUUGGUCAAACAAGAGAUAUUCUCACCCAUUAUUGAUAAAGUUAGUUAUACAACUGGUUUUAGGACCAGAAUUUUUUCAUACGUUAAAAAGGUGCAUGAAGCACAUGGACGCGAGUAUUCUUUGUCUUUAGUAUAUAGUUCAUAAAUCAUAAAGGAAUAUUAUAAAGCAGAUAUGCAUCUGUAAUUAGUUGAAAUAUUAAAUUUAGUUUGUUAUUAGUUAACAAACUAUUGAACCCCAACAGAACAUUUCUGUUCAGAGAUGACAAAAAGCAUUUGGCG
rnacentral:lncRNA from 1 species